AACUUGACCUUCGUCAUAACUUAAACCUACACACAUAGCCCUCUUUCAUCUCUUUGCUUUCUCCCAAAUCUGAAACCCUAGUUCUCGACCUCGCCAUGGAUUCCGUCGAAUUGAAUCCUUCUUCCCAUCCCCUCGAUCAACCUCCUCGUCCUGCUUCCUCUGAAACCGUAGCUUCCCUCAAGGAUGAUAACUCUGCUUCCCUCGCCCCCGAUCAGAUUCCUGCUCCCGAAGCUACCAACGGCUCCUCUAACGGCGUUACCGGUGACGACAAGAACAAAUCCGAGGACACCACAACCCGGAGGAAGCGUCGGAGCAGGUGGGAUCCUCCUCCUUCCGAGUCGGUUACCAACACGAGCGCCGAAGGUGGCGGCGGUGGCGACUCCGGUACUAGGAAGCGUAAGUCGAGAUGGGCUGACGACGAGCCGAAGCCGACGAUUCAGCUGCCCGAUUACAUCAAGGAGAUCGUCGGAGGUAUCGAGUUCGAUCCCGAGAUUCAGGUUUUGAACAGCAGGUUGCUUGAUAUCAGUAGGCUGCUUCAGUCCGGUAUGGCUUUGGAUGAUAGACCCGAGGGGCAGAGGUCUCCCUCGCCGGAGCCCGUGUAUGAUAACAUGGGGAUUAGGAUCAACACUAGGGAGUACAGAGCGAGGGAGAGGUUGAAUAGAGAGAGGCAAGAGAUUAUAUCUCAGAUUAUUAAAAAGAAUCCUGCUUUUAAACCACCCGCGGAUUACAGGCCUCCCAAGCUCCAGAAGAAGCUGUUCAUUCCGAUGAAGGACUAUCCCGGUUAUAAUUUCAUUGGUCUUAUUAUUGGUCCCAGGGGGAAUACUCAGAAGAGGAUGGAGAGGGAGACUGGUGCUAAGAUUGUGAUUAGGGGUAAAGGGUCUAUGAAGGAAGGUAGGCUGCAGAAGAAGGAUAUGAAGUACGACCCUGCUGAAAAUGAGGAUUUGCAUGUUUUGGUUGAGGCUGAGACUCAGGAGGCACUUGAAGCUGCUGCUGGUAUGGUCGAGAAGCUUCUUCAGCCUGUUGAUGAGGUACUGAACGAACACAAGAGGCAACAGCUGAGGGAGCUUGCUACCUUGAAUGGUACUAUAAGGGAUGAAGAGUUCUGUAGGCUGUGUGGUGAGCCAGGACAUAGGCAGUUCGCGUGUCCAUCUCGUUUGAAUACCUUUAAAAGUGAUGUGCUUUGCAAGAUUUGUGGUGAUGGUGGACACCCUACUAUUGAUUGCCCUGUGAAGGAUACUAAUGGGAAGAAAAUGGAUGAUGAAUAUCAGAACUUUUUGGCUGAGUUAGGAGGAACUCUCCCUGAAUCUUCUCUCAAACAGAGUACUAAUACCUUGGCUCUUGGUCCGGGAAGUUCUGGAAGUAAUCCUCCAUGGGCUAGCAAUGGGGGCAGUGGGGCAAGUGCGCAUCCUGGCUUAGGGUCAAAUCCAGCCAAACCCUCCAAAGAAUAUGAUGAAAAAAAUCUCUACAUUGGGUUCUUACCUACGAUGCUUGAGGACGAUGGUUUGAUUAAUCUUUUUUCACCCUUUGGCGAAAUUGUGAUGGCAAAGGUAAUAAAGGACCAUAUUUCUGGUCUGAGCAGAGGCUAUGGUUUUGUGAAGUACGCAGAUGUCCAGAUGGCCAAUUCGGCGAUACAGGCAAUGAAUGGUUAUCGGUUAGAAGGUAAAACACUUGCUGUCAGGAUUGCUGGUAAACCGGCACCGCCUCCUGGGCCCCCGGCACCUCCCCCACCUACUCAAUCUUAUCCUCCUCCACCAUCACAACCAUAUGGCGCUGGUGGGCAACUGCCAAAUCCUUCAUAUUCACCGGCUCCAGUUCCUUGGGGUCCUCCUGUUCCUUCCUAUUCACAAUAUGCUCCUCCGCCUCCUCCUGGUUCUUACCAUCCCGUCCCUGGUCAACACAUGUCUCCUUAUGGAAUGCACUACCCACCACCACCACCACCUCCUCAUGUGACACAAGCUCCUCCACCUGGCACUACUACUAGUGAAAGCCAGCAAAGCUUCCCACCAGGAGUAGUACAAGCAGACAGUGGUACUCCUCCUCCAUCUGUGCCACCAAAUGUCUAUGGUGGUUCGCUUUCAGGUGUGCCUGGACAGCCUCCGUAUAUGAGUUAUCCAUCUUAUUACGCUGCUGUUCCACCUCCACCUCCACCUCCAGUGCCGACCUCGUCUGCUGAUCAUUCCCAAAGCAUGGGUAACAUGCCGUGGGCGAACAAUCCUCCUAUGCCGUCAUCUGAUCACUCGCAAGGUGUAGGUAAUGCACCUUGGGCACCUAAUCCUCCUCUGCCACCUUCUGUUGGAUAUUCGCAGAGCAUGGGGAACGCACCCUGGGCUCCCAAGCCUCCAGUUCAGCCACCUGCAGAGAAUCCAUCCGCUGUUGGAGAUUCUGAGUAUGAGAAGUUCAUGGCUGAGAUGAAGUAGCAUGUGGUGUUCUAAGGAUAAACUCCUUAGUGGAGAGGUAAGAUAUCCUCAUUUGAUAUUAUCUUGGCUAACGGGUUUUAAAUUUAGAAUUUGAAACGGGUCAUUUUGGCUUUAAGCAUAUGAUAAAAGUUUUCAUCCUGAAAAGUUUUACGUAUUAGAAAUAUUUUUUUCCCGAAUUAUCAUUUUUUAGACUUGCAAUUGCAGGAUGAACCAAGUUGAGCAUGUUGUGUGAUACUGCCUUUUUCGAAAGUUUUUCCCCUUUUAUGUUCCUUCUUAUGUAAUUUUCUGUUUAUAGUUUUGUAAGAUGUUAACUAAUUGAUGUAGCUCAUUUAAUCUGGUUACUGUUGUGUUUGUGAGCAGUCCCACAGCUAAAGGAGCAUCUGUUCUGGUGUGAUGUUUCUUGGAGCCUCUUGUACCGUGAUUUUCUUACAUCUUUCUUGUUGGAAGUUUGGGACUCACAUCUUAACCCCUUGCUAUGCUGUUGUGAAAUAUGCAGAGAUUCAGGCUUGGAAGCUCCCAGUUCAUACUGUUUCCUUCAUAAAUGCCAUAAGAUAUUUUAUUUAUGUUACUGAUAAUAAUUUAUUUUCUGUACUUUUUCAGUUUGGGAUUUGAAACUUUUGGUGGUAUUGGUGUCGACAUAUCAUAUCUAGUUCCUGAUACAUCUUUGGAUCA